GACGAACGCUGGCGGCGUGCUUAACACAUGCAAGUCGAGCGGUAAGGCUCCUUCGGGAGUACACGAGCGGCGAACGGGUGAGUAACACGUGAGUAAUCUGCCCUUCACUUCGGGAUAACCACCGGAAACGGUGGCUAAUACCGAAUACGACCAGUCUUCGCAUGAGGUGCUGGUGGAAAGUCUUUUCGGUGAAGGAUGUGCUCGCGGCCUAUCAGCUUGUUGGUGGGGUAAUGGCCUACCAAGGCUUCGACGGGUAGCCGGCCUGAGAGGGUGACCGGCCACACUGGGACUGAGACACGGCCCAGACUCCUACGGGGGGCAGCAGGGGGGAAUAUUGGACAAUGGGCGAAAGCCUGAUCCAGCAACGCCGCGUGAGGGAUGACGGCCUUCGGGUUGUAAACCUCUUUCAGUACCGACGAAGCGCCCUGUCGGGUGGUGACGGUAGGUACAGAAGAAGGACCGGCCAACUACGUG
rnacentral:rRNA from 1 species